rnacentral:rRNA from 1 species
UACGGGGGGGGCAAGCGUUGUUCGGAAUUACUGGGCGUAAAGGGCUCGUAGGUGGCCAACUAAGUCAGACGUGAAAUCCCUCGGCUUAACCGGGGAACUGCGUCUGAUACUGGAUGGCUUGAGUUCGGGAGAGGGAUGCGGAAUUCCAGGUGUAGCGGUGAAAUGCGUAGAUAUCUGGAGGAACACCGGUGGCGAAGGCGGGUCUCUGGGCCGAUACUGACGCUGAGGAGCGAAAGCGUGGGGAGCGAACAGG